CCUACGGGAGGCAGCAGUGGGGAAUAUUGCACAAUGGGGGAAACCCUGAUGCAGCGACGCCGCGUGAGUGAAGAAGUAUUUCGGUAUGUAAAGCUCUAUCAGCAGGGAAGAAGAAAGACGGUACCUGACUAAGAAGCCCCGGCUAACUACGUGCCAGCAGCCGCGGUAAUACGUAGGGGGCAAGCGUUAUCCGGAUUUACGGGGUGGAACGGGAGCGUAGACGGCUGUGCAAGUCGGAAGUGAAAGCCCAGGGCUCAACCCUGGGACUGCUUUGGAAACUGUGGUGCUAGAGUGCUGGAGAGGUAAGUGGAAUUCCUGGUGUAGCAGUGAAAUGCGUAGAUAUUAGGAGGAACACGAGUGGCGAAGGCGGCUUACUGGACAGUAACUGACGUUGAGGCACGAAAGCGUGGGGAGCGAACAGGAUUAGAUACCCCGGUAGUC
rnacentral:rRNA from 1 species